rnacentral:lncRNA from 1 species
CACUCUCUGUUUAAUGGAUAACUAAAGCUGAUGUAGACCAGUUGACAGUGGUCAAAAACGUUUAUUUUCUGCCUAGCACUCUACUACUAUUUUUAUUUCUGCCUAUAAAAAUAUGUGUGUAAAAAUAGCAAUGGUAUAAUUUCUGCAAAAUUACUCAUUCCAUGAAAUUAGCAUGGAUCAAUAGCAGUGGUGCCCAAGCUUUUUGGAAGCAGUGCCACUAUAAAAAGCAAAAAUGCUGUGCAUGCCACUUUUUUUUAAAGGUGAUUUACACAAAAAAAAAUACAAAUAGGUUACUUAUUUUAUUUAUUAAUCACAACCAUAAGAUCAUAUUUGUUACAAAAUCAAUUAGAAAUUAUACAAUUAAUGCAAUUUUUGUAUUUGCAUAUUGCACAGAAGGUUAUCUAUAUUUGGAUUCAAUUUAGUACCACAAAAUAAUAUCCAGUUUUUCAGAUGAAGGUCAAUUGAAUUUGAUCGAUAUUUAG